UAAACGACUCUCGGCAACGGAUAUCUCGGCUCUCGCAUCGAUAAAGAACGUAGCGAAAUGCGAUACUUGGUGUGAAUUGCAGAAUCCCGCGAACCAUCGAGUCUUUGAACGCAAGUUGCGCCCGAAGCCAUUAGGUUGAGGGCACGCCUGCCUGGGCGUCUCAC
rnacentral:rRNA from 1 species